UUUCCGGUUGAUCCCGCCAGAGGUUACUGCUAUCGGUGUUCGCCUAAGCCAUGCGAGUCAUAUGUUCUUCGUGAACAUGGCGUACUGCUCAGUAACACGUGGAUAACCUGCCCUUGGGUCUGGGAUAACCCCGGGAAACUGGGGAUAAUACCGGAUAACGCAUAUAUGCUGGAAUGCUUCAUGCGUAAAAUGGAUUCGUCUGCCCAAGGAUGGGUCUGCGGCCUAUCAGGUAGUAGUGGGUGUAAUGUACCUACUAGCCUACAUAUUUUGUACGGGUUGUGAGAGCAAGAGCCCGGAGAUGGAUUCUGAGACAUGAAUCCAGGCCCUACGGGGCGCAGCAGGCGCGAAAACUUUACAAUGCGGGAAACCGUGAUAAGGGGACACCGAGUGCCAGCAUCAUAUGCUGGCUGUCCAGAUGUGUAAAAUACAUCUGUUAGCA
rnacentral:rRNA from 1 species